ACUGCUGAGCCAUCUCUCCAGCCCCUUAAAAAUAUUCUUCAAGGGCUGGAGAGAUGGCUCAGUGGU
rnacentral:pre_miRNA from 1 species